rnacentral:lncRNA from 1 species
AAACAAGCUCUUUUUAGCCGUUGUGCGACAUGUUGAUCAGACAGCGAUCGGAUUAACAACGGAUUUGACCUUUAACAGACGACGUUUUUUCCCCGUCGUAUGAUGCAUUAUCUGGCGUAGUGACAUUUUCUAUCCAUGGCAUAACCGUCUCUUCUAAUGCUAAAGCCUUCACUGCGAGCAUACGCGUUAUAAAAGUUAAAUGCAUCAAUCUCAUAAUCAAAUUCUAUAUAAUAUUUAGGUUUCAAAUCUUUUUUGAUCUCUCCAAACUAUUGUUGUUUUUUCCCACAAACUUUCCAUUUUUAAAACCUAUAUUUAACAAUCAAAAGAACAUGCACAAAAGUGAGAUUCAAUCUCAAAACUAUAAUUCAAAUGGAAUAAACACAAGCCAGCAGCCAAUGCAAUCAAAUUAGAUAAGAAACGCAUAAACCCAGAUGAAGAAUUAUCGCGUAUACUAAUACAUAUAAAAACUAAAAUCUGAGAUGGAGAUCGAACCUCAAACUCCAGUAAUGAAGAUUAAAAAAACUUGGGAUAUGGUGGAGGAUGCCAGAUAUGGUGGGCCGGCGACCGCGGAAAAGGUCAUUGCCGGCGGAGGGAGGCAUAGAGAUGCGACUACGGAAGAGAGAGAGAGAUC